UUCUUCUCUUCUCUUUCCUGCUUCCUUCUUUCACUUCUUUUUUAUAUAUUUUUUUCUUUCUUUCUUUCUUUCUUUCUUAAUAUCCAUCUUUCUUCCCCUUUCCAUCUCUAUUCAUCCAUAUGUAAACUAUCCCCUUAAUAAACUUUCACUACCCUACCCCUCGUGACCCCAAGCCUGUCAUUAACCUGUAUAUAGCCUGAUCAUGCUUUCCCAGGUGUGUUCCAGCCCUCCACACCUGGCCCGCACCUGUCCUAUACCUGCCCACGUGUCUCCCCCAGCGCUAAACACAUGACGUAACUGGCAAAUUGACGUUAAAUAUAAUUGGUCCACUGUGUCUUUCCUAUAAGGUGUGGAUGCUCAGGUAGGAUAGGUAUGUGUCCACCUGUAUCCACGUAUGUGUUUACCUGUGUUCACCUAUGUAGCCACAGGUGAGGAAGGGAGGAGGAGGAGAAGGAAGGGAGUUAGGGAGUUAGCCAGCGAGGUGUGUGUGUGUGUGUGUGUGUGUGUGUGUGUGUGUAUGUGUGUAUGUGUGUGUGUGUGUGUGACAUAUUCAAGUUAAAACCAACGGUAAAAUAAGUUUCCGUUAUCUCUGUGUGUCAUUUCUAUGUGUUAUGUGAUUCAUGUGUCCGGGAGAGGUGCAAGGUGUUAGGGGGGAAAUAAAAAGGGGUGAGGUGUUACGUAUUGAAGUUAAAAUGUUAAGAAAAGUUCCCGUUAGGUCCGUGUAUCAUACUUGAGUCAGGGGAAUUAUAUAUGUGUGAUGUGAUUCAUGCGUCUGGAAAAGGGGAAGGUGUUGUGUCCGGGAGUAUGAAGGUAUAGAUUGGGGUGUGUGUUUGGGUAUGUGGGGUGUGGGUGUGUAAGGGUUUGGGGUGUACGGUGUAGGGUGUAGGUGUGUAAGGGUUUGGGGUGUAGGGUGUAGGUGUGUAAGGGUUUGGGGUGUAGGGUGUAGGGUGUAGGUGUGUAAGGGUUUGGGGUGUAGGGUGUAGGUGUGUAAGGGUUUGGGGUGUAGGGUGUAGGGUGUGGGUGUGUAAGGGUUUGGGGUGUAGGGUGUAGGUGUGUAAGGGUUUGGGGUGUAGGGUGUAGGUGUGUAAGGGUGUGGGGUGUAGGGUGUAGGGUGUGGGUGUGUAAGGGUUUGGGGUGUAGGGUGUAGGUGUGUAAGGGUUUGGGGUGUAGGGUGUAGGUGUGUAAGGGUCUGGGGUGUAGGGUGUAGGUGUGUAAGGGUUUGGGGUGUAGGGUGUAGGUGUGUAAGGGUUUAGGGUGUAGGGUGUAGGUGUGUAAGGGUCUGGGGUGUAGGGUGUGGGUGUGUAAGGGUCUGGGGUGUAGGGUGUGGGGUGUGGGGUGUUAGGGUAGUGUCAUGAGAGGAAACACCAGCAUCACCUUAAAUGUAUCGAUAACAUAACAAAGUCAACUCUCGAUACAGUGUAAUUAGAGACAUAUCGUGGUGGUACUUCACUUACUUAUAUAUAAACUCUUAGCUGUAAGUAACAACAAGUAGUGUUUCGUCGGUCUGAAAGUUUACUUGGUAUUCAAAGUCUUCUGAAACAAUCUUCUACGACUACGGGAUCACGAGACGAUUGCAACCUACCGUGUGUGUGUGUUCCUCGGCGCACACGAAACCAGACUGUCGAACUCGGCAUUCUUUCUUUUACAUCAAAGGAAACAGCUCAAGGGCGGCUGAGUGGUCAGUGUGCAGGCGCCGCGUCCAGGAGGACGCAGGUUCGCGUCCCGCCCGCCGCCACAAGCUGGGAUUUUUCAGUCACUGUCGAGUGGCCUAAGACGCUAUCCUGAAGACCACCUGUCAUCCCGGACUCUAGAUUCUCUCUCUAAAAGAGAGGAUCAAGGAUGAGCUCCGGGGGGGCAGCAUGAGCCAAGCAAGAUGGCGCCACUAUAAACAUUUGCCUGCGCCAUAAAGGGCUGGGGCCGACCAUCAGGCCCCACCAAGAAAGACUGUUCCUGUAAUGAAAUUAGAAAGUGGUGGCCAAAAAGAGACGUCGGUUUCGGAUGGAGAGGUGUC